AACGAACGCUGGCGGCAUGCCUAACACAUGCAAGUCGAACGAAGUCUUCGGACUUAGUGGCGCACGGGUGCGUAACGCGUGGGAAUCUGCCCUUGGGUGCGGAAUAACUUCUCGAAAGGGAUGCUAAUACCGCAUAAUGUCGUAAGACCAAAGAUUUAUCGCCCAAGGAUGAGCCCGCGUAAGAUUAGCUAGUUGGUGGGGUAAAAGCCUACCAAGGCGACGAUCUUUAGCUGGUCUGAGAGGAUGAUCAGCCACACUGGGACUGAGACACGGCCCAGACUCCUACGGGAGGCAACAGUGGGGAAUAUUGGACAAUGGGCGAAAGCCUGAUCCAGCAAUGCCGCGUGAGUGAUGAAGGCCCUAGG
rnacentral:rRNA from 1 species